rnacentral:tRNA from 1 species
CGCGUAGCUCAGUUGGAUAGAGCAUGCGCCUUCUAAGCGCAGGGUCGAGGGUUCGAAUCCCCCCGCGAACACCA